CACACGUAACCCCUCCCUCUACCACCUGUUCAUUCUGCAAUACGCCACGCUUAGCCUUCCUCACCGCCAAUCCCUCAUCCCAUAUACACCCAAGUCCCAACACACAGCACAAACAACAAAUAAACAAGUACAUGCACUGAUGCACAGAUACAUAUACAAAGAGAGAGACCCGAGAGAGCAGCAGAGCCCGGGAAGAGAGAAGAGAGGAGGGGCGACGCCAACGGAAGGGAAGCUUGCCGCCAUACCAUCACAUCACCGAACCGCCACUGAUAGGGUUUGGUUCCAUCAGGUCCUGCCGCCGCCAAGGGUUCCAUUUCCGGUUAGAUCCUCCGUCGUUGAUUCUGCCCGGACCACCGCCGUUGCUGGAAACCACCCCUGGAGCCGACCGCCAACACCAUCAAAAUCCUCCAAUUUCACCCCUGUACCAUUAUGGCUUGCCGCUGCAGUUUCUGUUUUGGGGUGAGCUGCCACCAACAGCGCCACUUUCAGUCUGAUUCCAAUUCCAUAAUUCAUAAAUCUUAUCGCUGAGUUCUGUUGGAAAUUGUCGCUGCUGCGAGCAUAGUCGGGGUUGAUGCCAUUGCUGCCGUUCCGGAUGGUAUGGGAGAUGCCGUUGCUGCUGUGAGCUCAGAUUAAGUGAAAUUGUCGCAUUUAAUCCCUAAGUUCAGUUAAUCGAGUGCCACAAGUCCGAAGACUCCAUUUGAAGCUGUGGGCGAUUAUUAAUUUUUUUUACUGUUGCCACUCUCGCCUUCCUGCCUCGAUCUUCUCUGUGGGUGUUGUGAUCCCGAUUCUUCCAUCUCCACCGUGUGACCUGUCUUUCUGUCCUUUUUCUCGGUUUCUCUCUGCACGGUGUUGGUGUCACUCUGAAAUCCUGGAUCUUCAACCCAGUUUUCUUUAUCCCCAUCCAGUUCGUGUUUCUGGAUCCUUUCUUGGAUUAUCCCAGUUUUCUCUAUAUGGGUACAUUGUGCAUCUAGGUGUCCGUCUUCCAUCGACGUUUUCUGUCCCGAACGACCCCUCAGAACAGUAUUGAUGAAGAUGUAUAAGAGAUCAAUUGAGAAUGGGGUUGAAAAGAAAGUUAUCGAUGAGAAAAAAAGUGAUUAGUUGAUAUUGAAUUAGUGUGGGUUGGUCUCAAAUUUAUCUUUUUUUGUGUGUAGCUUUUACUUUGUUUUUCAGCGUUCUUGGAGUUCCAGCUGAAUUCUUCUCCAUGAUUGAUAAAAGUUUGUAGCUUUUAUUUUAUUUUUAUCUAGCUCAAUCUUGAUAAAUUUGGUACUUAAAGGGGUGUUUUCAUUUACACUGGUAUGUGAUCAACUGAGAUUUGUGUUGGAACUAUUCCAAAAUCCAAAGGGCAUUGUGUUUGAAUUUGGAUGGCUUGAUUUGUUGGUUUGUUACCUUUUGGAUUGAUGCUUUUUUUUCUUCUGAUUGUUAGUUAAUUAUGUGUUUUGAGAAUCAAUUUUAUGCUUAUUAGUUUGUAGGAAUUCAUCAUUAACAUUAAUUAAAGCUAUGUUAGUACAUUUUCUAAGUUCUUCUUAUGAUUUGAUACAUGAUAAAUAGAUCACUCCCAAUUUGGAUUGCAGAAUAGUUCAAGUACUGCUAGAGGAUGGGAACGAACGAAUGGCACAUCGAAAGAAGAUCUAGCUUUGAAACUGAGUCGACUUCCAUCGACGUUUUUUGUCCCAAACGACCCCUCAGAACAAUGAAGAUGUAUAAGAGAUCAAUUGAGAAUGUUGCUGGUUUUGGAUCUGAAAAAGCAUGUAGGAAGCUGUUUGGACUCUGUGAUGUUAAACAUCACAAGUCAACCGAUUUACUCAUGCACCAACAAUCAUAAUUUUGAGCUGAUUCUUUGUCUAAUGGGGUCUUCUCUUUUGCAUCCUUGUCUAUGUGCUAGGGGUCGCCUUCUUGUUCUUUGCCUUGAUCAUGUGCAAAAUUCAGAUAGUGGUUCAAUGACAUUAUGUUCAAAAGCAAGAUCAUCAUCUCUACGAACUUCACCAUUUCAAUUGUUACAUAUGCUCCUAAACAGUUAUAAGGCAGCAGCCCCGAUGAUAAUAGUUCCGAUGGGAUCAAACUAGAUGAAAAUGAAGUAUGGCAGUUCCGGUUUGCUUAUGGCAAUACAUGGCAGGGAAUGGUACUUGCAAUCUGUCCUUAUCUUGAUCGUUACUUCCUGGCAUCAGCUGGCAAUACUUUUUAUGUUUGUGAUUUCCCAAAUGACAAUCCCCAAAGAGUGAGAAAGUUUGUGCAGGGAAGGACACGUUUCUUGGUAACAUCAUUGACUGUACAUUUCACUAGAAUCGCUGUUGGUGAUUGUCGUGAUGGUGUCAGCUUC